rnacentral:rRNA from 1 species
GACAGAGGUCCCGAGCGUUAGGCGGAAUCACUGGGCUUAAAGCGUGUGUAGGCGGAUUUGUAAGUACCUUGUGAAAUCCCACAGCUUAACUGUGGAACUGCUUGGUAUACUGCUUAUCUUGGGCCAGCUAGGGGCUACCGGAACAAGUGGUGGAGCGCUGAAAUGCGUAGAUAUCACUUGGAACGCCAAUGGUGAAAACAGGUAGCUGGGGCUGUGCCGACGCUGAGACACGAAAGCCAGGGGAGCGAACGGG